GACGAGGAACACCUUUUAAAACUUACCUGCAGUAAGUAUCUCAUUUGAUGUUCUUUAUUUGAAUAUCCUAUUGAUGUCAUUCUUGCAGCAUUGUUUGAAAUGAAAGUAACACCUGAACAAGUAUAUAGAAUGCAUACAGUAUGUAUAUAGUAUCACAACAUAUGCUUAAUUUACAAUAUUCUUUUCUUUUUUCUUGAUUGUUGAUUUUCAAGGUUUUUAUAAUUGUCUGGAUAAAGUUUACUUUUGGUCAAGAUCCCUUUGGCAGUCUGCAACAAUUGGAAAUGCUUGGACAGUCGGUGAAUGGAUUAUAACCUUGGUUGAAAAGUCAAGAUACAGAGGUGGUAUCUUUAAUCUUUUACUUGUUUCACUCAUUAGAUUGCAGCCAUUCAGGGACAGUGCCUUGAAUUUUUAGUCAAAUGAAUUGACCCCAAUCCUUUCUCAUUUUUUAAAACCUGUUACUUAUUCAAUUGGUCCCUUUUGCUGAAUCACUAAAUUACAGGGAUGUAGACAUACCAAAACCAUUGUUUAAAUAGUGGUGGAGGUCAAACACAGACACAGUGACAUACACAUAUAUACUAUGAGCUACUUUCAACUUCUGUCCACCAAAUCCACUCACAAGGCUUUGAUCAUCUCAAGGCUAUAGUAUAAGACACUUGCCCAAGGUGCCAUCUAGUGGGACUGAACCCAGAACCAUGAGGUUGGGAAGCAAGCUUCUUAUCACACAGCUACCACAAAUUCAUUACUCUACAUCCACAUUGACAUAUACAUCAUAAGCUGAGCAUCAUACAGCAUGCUCCAAGAUGAAGUUUUUUGUUGUAUGAAGAUGUUACAGUUUUCUACCAUCCACUAGAUUCCGAAGAUAGCCACAGUAGAGACUAGCAAAUUUCAUUUGGUUAAACAGCUAUUAUCUUUCCUCCAUAUUUAUGGCCAUUAAGAUUUUUUUUUUACUAUUGACCAACCAGUCUGUUUAAGAAAUAUAGUAGUUUUGUUUCUUUGUUGUUUAACUCCUAAUUCAGACCUGACUUAAAGUUAACUCCAUUCUUCAGUUAACUAAGGAAUAGAGUCAAAUGUUUAAAAUAGAGUCGAAUAUUUAAAAAUAUAACUCCUUUAAUAUUAUUCAUAUUUCCCAUUAUGGAUUUAUAGCAAGUGGUUUUCUGAUCAACCCUUUUAAAUAGCAACUACAAUAAAUAAAUAAAUAAAUACAUAAAACGCAAUAAAAAAAAUGUACAUUUAUAUAUAUACAUAUAUAUAUCGCCCCAACUGGCCUCGUGCCAGUGGCACGUAAAAAGCACCAUCCGUUCGUGACCGUUUGCCAGCUCCGUCUGGCACCUGUGCGGGUGGCACGUAAAAAGCACCCACUACACUCACGGAGUGGUUGGCGUUAGGAAGGGCAUCCAGCUGUAGAAACACUGCCAGAUCAGACUGGGCCUGAUGCAGCCUUCUGGCUUCACAGACCCCAGUUGAACCAUCCAACCUAUGCUAGCAUGGAAAGCGGAUGCUAAAUGGUGAUGAUGAUAUAUAUAUAUAUAUACACACACAAAAUAGUUAAAAUGAAUAAAAUACAUAACUAAAAAUUCUUCAAAGUAUGGCCACUGUCUAAUGAUUGAAACAGGUAAGAGAUAAAAGAGAAAUGAGAAAUAAAUGCAAAAAUUGAAUACCUCCGCUACCAAAUAGUAAAUCAUAGGUGCAGGCACGGCUAUAUGGUAAGAAGCUUGCUUCUGAACCACAUUGUUUCGAGUUCAAUCACACUACGUGGCACCUUGGGCAAGUGUUUUCUACAAUAGCCUCGGGGCUUGUAAGUGGAUUUGGUAGACAUAAACUGAAAGAAGCCCAUCACAUAUAUAUAUAUACAUGUAUAUAUACAUGUAUAUAUAUGUAUCUAUAUGUAUAUACUUAUGUGUGUGUGUGUCUGUGUUUGCCUUCACACCUCAUCCUACCAUUGCUUGACAACCAAUGUUGAUGUGUUCACAUCCCUCUUACUUAGCAGUUCAGCAAAAGAGACCAAUACAAUAAGUAAUAGGUUUACAUAGAAUAAGUCUUGGAUUCGAUUUCUUCGACUAAAACUCCUUUAAAGUGGUGCUCCAGCAUGGCCGCAAUCAAAUGACUGAAAUAAGUAAAAGAAUAAAAGAACAGAAUAAAAGAAUGUAUUUAUUUUUCACCUAUUCUUAUUUUUUAUUUUGUUUAUGUAUUUCAUUUAUUUUAAAUAUUAUAUUUUACAUAAAUUAUUUAUUUUAAUUAUCUAUUUCAUUUAAUUAUUUUUUUUAAUGUAUUCAUUUUUUAUCCAUUGGAAUAUUUUUAUUCUUUAAACUUAUUUACUUCUAUCUAGUUCAGUCUUUUUUUCUUCCUUUUUUUUUCUCUCCACCACUUUCUUGCUUGCUUUUUACUUCCUUCUCUAAAUACACAUAAAUUACCUCACCAUGUGUCUAUCUUCAGAUAUUUGAUCAUGGGAAUAAAACAUACCCAUGAUCAUCCUUGUGCAUCUGGAUGCUUACCUAGAUGUGCAUAGAAUAUCCAAUGAGGUGUUCCAAAUAACUGCAAUGGUGAAAUGUACAUAAGAAUUUGAUAUUUAUCCUGGGGUUUACCUUAAUUUUCCACUAUAUGUGUAUAUUGGGUUGGUGCAUAAUUAUUGCGGCUUUUUUUUAACAACAUGUAACAGAUACAUCUUUAAAUGAUUAUUCUGGAGCAUAUUCACCACCUACUUCAAUUACUGCUUCCCAUUUGCUUGGCAGAUGGUCAAACCAUCAUUUAAAGAUUUUUUUGCUAAAUAUUAUUGUUUUUGUUGAAUAAAAUUUGUUGAAAAAAAGCCGCAAUAAUUAUGCACCAACCCAAUAUAUAUAAAUAUGGCUGAAUUGUUUGCACACUGGGCGAAAUGCUUAGUGGUAUUUUGUCUGCCAUUACAUUCUGAGUUGAAAUUCCUCUGAGGUUGACUUUCAUCCUCUCGGGGUCGAUUAAAUAAGUACCAGUUACAUGCUGGGGGUCAAUGUAAUCGACUUAAUCCCUUUGUCAGUCCUUGUGUGCCCCCUGUGUGUUUUGCCCCCAGUGGGCAAUAAAGAAAUAUAUAUAUAUAUAUAUAUAUAUAUAUAUAUAUCACUAUAUAGAUAUAUAUACACAAGUGUUACGGAAUAGAGUAGGUAAGAUCUAGGCUAUAUAUGUUUUAUAGUGGACAGAACUUCAGAAGUGGUAAAAAUCCAAGCAAGUUGUAUACCACCGGCUACUGUUCAGGCCAAGGAUAUCUUGGUUAAAUAUAUAUAUAUAUAUAUUUAUACAGGGUGCAUAAGGUAUUUGAGGACAUACCUUGUUUUGGUCAUUGCUGCAUUUUUUGCUAACUCUGAAUAAUUUUUCUUUCAGAAAAUAAUAAUGGCAGACCUUCAGCUUACUCAAGAAAUGAAGAGACAUGCUGUUAUUGUGGUUAUAAAGACUGAGCAUAGCAAUUUAGAAAUAUCUUGGUUUUUAAAAGUUGCCAGAUCUUUUGCCUACAAAGUUCGUAAGGAGUUAAAGAUUGAAGAUGGAAAGGAAUCACCAGUAUCAGAGCAUAAAAAGCAUUCUAAAUACUCUGAAAUCACCACUCUACCCAUCUAUAGACAUAUUUAUAAUUUAACCUAAUGUACUUUCUAAAAUCUCUGAUGAAGCCCAGAGAAACACCCAAGUACCUCAAUUUCAUCUACUAAUUACUUCAGUCUACUGGAGGGAUAAAGGUUGAAUGAGGUAUUUUUGCCUCUUGGCUGAAACAACUGUAAGAUAUUUUCCUAAUUUCUAUUCCUGUAUGUUAUAUAUUUUAAUAAUUACUGGUAUCUUUAUGUAUUAUAUACGUAAAGCAUAC
rnacentral:lncRNA from 1 species